AGUCGUAACAAGGUCUCGUUGGUGAACCAGCGGAGGGAUCAUU
rnacentral:rRNA from 1 species